AUUGAACGCUGGCGGCAGGCCUAACACAUGCAAGUCGAACGAGUGGCGGACGGGUGAGUAAUAUCUGUGAAACUGCCCGAUGGAGGGGGAUAACUAAUGGAAACGGUAGAUAAUACCGCAUACCAUCGGCGGUGCCCCGAUGGGAUUAGCUUGUAGGUGAGGUAACGGCUCACCUAGGCGACGAUACCUAGCGGGUCUGAGAGGAUGACCAGCCACACUGGAACUGAGACACGGUCCAGACUCCUACGGGAGGCAGCAGUGGGGAAUAUUGCACAAUGGGCGCAAGCCUGAUGCAGCCAUGCCGCGUGUAUGAAGAAGGCCUUCGGGUUGUAAAGUACUUUCAGCGGGGAGGCGUUACCCGCAGAAGAAGCACCGGCUAACUCCGUGCCAGCAGCCGCGGUAAUAC
rnacentral:rRNA from 1 species